CCCCACCCCCAGGUUGCUCGGGUUGUGGGCUGGGCUUUCGGUUUUAUCCUGGACACCUGUGUUCCAGAAAGAGGUCUUGAGUUUACUUUCGAAGUCUUACCCAGGAGCCACCGCUUUACACCUUUCAUCAACUCGAAUUUGGGCUUUGUGUAUUGUGACUUACAUCACGGGGCGAUGAGGACCCCAAGUAUCAGGCCUUUAGAAGAAAGGAGGCCCCGACUUCGUCUGCUCUGAGUCAGGGCGGCAAUCUCUGUCAUUACUUGAUAUCAGCUGUUGCGGAGAAGUCAAUUAGCUACCCUUGUGAGAUUAAUUCCAAACAAAGGGAUGCUCGUCACUAACAGCUGCUGAACCUCACCUACAAGUCUCUAACUGGAAGAUAUCGGGGAUGAUAAGAAUUUAACAAACUAAUAGAUUUCUAUUUGAAAGACAUAUAGCUAGAAUUUUGUGAGAGCACGAAGUCGAUAUGGUUUACAGUGGUAUGAAAAGUCUUUCUAGACAUUGCAAGAUUUUCCCUAGAUCCUAAAACGCCACUAGUACUAUAGGAGUGAACAGGAAGUAAGAAUUCCGGGGAGAAAGAACUCAAGGAGAAACUUUUAGCAGGGAGAUAUAGCGACUGUUGAGUUAAUUUAUCAAUCAUUCAGAGAGGGUACUAGUUUCCUUCAUGUGGGAUUUUGGUGGGGGAGGGUGGAGGUUGAAGAAUUUCAAAGCGUUCUGAAUAUUGGACUUUGCCCUUUAAUUUGGAAAGCGCGGAAUGGCUUUGUGAACAAAGAAUGAAAGAAUCCGGCAGCUGAGUGACGGGAGUAUUUCAGAAGUGACUGAAGGCGGCAGGUCCAUCUCAGCUGUUAAGAAUAAAGCCUGUGCAUAUUAUUUCUCUUUCCUACUCUGUAUUGUAUAGGCUCAUUACCCUGAGGUGAGACAUGGAGGUACCUGAAGAGCCCCUGCUGGAAGAUAGAAUUCCUUCGGGUUUUCCUGAUGAUCAGAUCUGCAAUUUGUUGGACCAUGAUGGCAACAAAGAAAGCUGUUGAGCCUGUCCAUUCCAGGCCAAGGCGAUGGAGGGGAUCUAGAGAGGGAAAGACCCUAUGAAGCCAAAUUCUGGAAGGCAGAGCAAUGGCAAGCAAGGAAACAGAUAUAGCACACAGAGAGGAAAAUAGCCCUCACCUUGAUCCCUGCACUCCGACAUUUGGAGACUGCAUCUGGCACGGUAGACCGAGGAGGAUCAAUCAUGGACAGAAGCCCCACAAAGCAGAGGUUGGAAGUGGGAAAGUUUACGGAGUCUACAUCAAAUGUGUAGUCCUGGGGAAACUCAUCUGCUGGCAAGUAGAGGUGACAGAAACCUGGAAGAGAAAGGCAC